AUGGCGGAGGGGUUCCACACGUACCCAUCCCGAACACGACCGUUAAGCCCUCUAGCGCCGAUGGUACUUGGACCGCAGGGUCCUGGGAGAGUAGGAC
rnacentral:rRNA from 1 species